UAAUCGCGGAUCAGCAUGCCGCGGUGAAUACGUUCCCGGGCCUUGUACACACCGCCCGUCACACCAUGGGAGUCGGUAACACCCGAAGCCUGUAGUCUGACCUUUUGGAGGACGCAGUCGAAGGUGGGAUCGAUGACUGGGGUGAAGUCGUAACAAGGUAGC
rnacentral:rRNA from 1 species